GAUGAACGCUGGCGGCGUGCCUAAUACAUGCAAGUCGAGCGAACAGAUGAGGAGCUUGCUCCUCUGACGUUAGCGGCGGAUGGGUGAGUAACACGUGGAUAACCUACCUAUAAGACUGGGAUACCUUCGGGAAACCGGAGCUAAUACCGGAUAAUAUAUUGAACCGCAUGGUUCAAUAGUGAAAGACGGUUUUGCUGUCACUUAUAGAUGUAUCCGCGCCGCAUUAGCUAGUUGGUAAGGUAACGGCUUACCAAGGCGACGAUGCGUAGCCGACCUGAGAGGGUGAUCGGCCACACUGGAACUGAGACACGGUCCAGACUCCUACGGGAGGCAGCAGUAGGGAAUCUUCCGCAAUGGGCGAAAGCCUGACGGAGCAACGCCGCGUGAGUGAUGAAGGUCUUCGGAUCGUAAAACUCUGUUAUUAGGGAAGAACAAAUGUGUAAGUAACUAUGCACGUCUUGACGGUACCUAAUCAGAAAGCCACGGCUAACUACGUG
rnacentral:rRNA from 1 species